rnacentral:rRNA from 1 species
UACGGAGGGUGCGAGCGUUAUUCGGAUUCACUGGGCGUAAAGCGCGCGUAGGCGGUUCGGUAAGUCUGAUGUGAAAGCCCACGACUUAAUCGUGGAAGUGCAUUGGAUACUGCCAGACUAGAGUACAGGAGAGGAGGAUGGAAUUCCCGGUGUAGAGGUGAAAUUCGUAGAUAUCGGGAGGAACAACAGUGGCGAAGGCGAUCCUCUGGACUGUUACUGACGCUGAGGUGCGAAAGUGUGGGGAGCAAAC